rnacentral:lncRNA from 1 species
AAAAUGAAUUGAUAUUGUAUAUUUUGCAACACAAAAGAGUAAAAACUCGAUAAUUGAUAUAAUAAAAGAGAGUUGAAAAAUGAAAAGUAGUGAUUAAACGGUCACUUUUUUUAAAAAGUGACCGUUUUGGUCACUAAAGUCACGAGCGGCUCUUCAUUUUAACGAGCCCACAAGCGGCUCACCUUCAAGCUCGGCUCGCGCUCGGGCUCGUGAUUUUAGAGCCCGAGCCACCCACGAGCCUUAUUUUGACGAGUCGAUCCGACUCGACCCUUUUGACAUCUCAUAUGUACCCUCUGUCUACAGCAAUGAUAUAUUCCCCUAUUCUUUUCUGCCAUCGAACUUAUCUAAUACAACCACAUCAACAUGUAACCACAUUAGUAUCACAAAUUCUUAAGAAUGCUGCUUCAGUUCAAAUAAGUACCUAGUGCGACCAUCAAGCUAUGUUGGAAAGACUAAGCAAAUUUUAAAUAUACAACUAAUGCUUCCAUCACAAUUACGGGAAUCAACUCUAUGGUUUAGGAUCCACGGCUGUCCAAACCAAAACAAUUUAACAAAAUUUACAAAAAAAUUCUGAAGCUGCCAAAUCCAAACGCAGAUAUAUUAAUCGAUGUUUGCAAACAAUUUCAGAGAAAAUGAUGUGAGCAAAAUCAAGACUGAGUUGCUGGGAUUUAGUUUGGGAGUGGCAGGAGAACCUUGCCCAGGAAGUAUUUGAACUUGAAGACAAAUUAAUUUAGGAAUCAUGAGGAAUCGCAACAGCAAUGAGUGGAUCUUUUCUUCCAAUUAUGAGACCUCAUUGUUCGGCGAUAUCCAUGUUCUCCCAUUUUGCUCCAUCGGGUUGUUCCCAAUCAAAUUUGUGCAAAACAUUUGCUAACACAAAUUCAACUAACCCCGAUGCAAAACUAAUCCCUCGGCAGAUUCUCCAAUCACUCUCAAAAACUCACACAUACAUCGAACAAAAAACUCACAUAUACAUUGAGAGGUUGGGGGAAAAAAUUUAAAACCAAAAAACCACAACUCACAUAGUUGCUGCCCUUUUUUCUCUCACCGACCACGAUUGACUUCUCUUACAGUUCAGGCGGCGAUCGGAGGUGGUGAUUAUUUGGGUUGUGCCUAGAAUUAUAGUGGUCUCUGCUUUAUUUUUUGUAAAUGGGAGAGUGAUUCAAUUUGGAGAAGAAAUAGGGCUUUAGUCGGGUCACCAACUGCAAAACAGGCUAUUUUGCCUUUUUUUCUUUCCAUUUUUCACGUCAGCACUGUAUAUGAAGUUGUACAUGUAGCGGAAUUAUUUUUGUUACCUCAUAUAUCAAAUUACUAACUAUCAUAUGUAUAUCACGUAGAACGACAGCGAUAGUAAGAUACUGAAAACAACAUUAUUCUAAAAUUAAUUAUUGACAUUUGCUGCGGAAGCUCUCUCCAAGGAUUUUCAAAUCGGUGUUUUUCGGAUUCAGUCCAACGUUUGUUUUUCUAUCAAACAACUAAACCAAAAAUGUCCCGAUCCACAACCAAUGUAAUUCACAUCGAUUGCUAUUCAGUAUUACCCACAAAAAACAAGAGAUGGUCAUGAUUUGCAACCACAAAGACAAGAAAAAAAUACUACAAAGGUACGCUAUGGCAAAACCACUUCAAGAGACUAUUUUUCACAAACUUUAAGGGGCAACCGAGUUCUCCUUUUAUUUUCUCACAAAUCACACUAGAAAAUAGCUAGGGUUGUAGUCUUAUAAAUGGUCUAGGGUUAGGCUUUUAAUUUGACAAAAAAAAAAAAGGUAAACGGACCAAGAUUUAAGUCAUCCAAAAGAGAAUACAAUUAGAUCGGGUGGAGCUCAUGGACUGGUUGUUGGACUUAUUUCAUUCAUCGGCCUAAACUUAUGAAAUAUAUUAUCCCAUAUUAACAUCAUAACUCGAGAUUUAUUAGGUAUAAAAAAACACAACAACAUUGACUUAAUAUUAUUCAAGACUUCUAGUUGAACCAAAAGGGGGCCACAUUUCAUUUCAAGAAUCCAGUACUGUAUUUGCCUGCACUGCAUGCCCACAUUACGAAAUUUCUAUUCAAGAACAAAACCAAACUUUUUCUAUUCAAGAACAAAACCAAACUUACAGAAGAUAUUCCAAGAAAUUAAACUGAUUAAAGAGACGAGCUUUUCUAUACGACUAUUUUCCAUCUUCUUUAUUCUGCAACUCAUGUACUCCAUUCCCAUUGAUUUGAACUUCAUAGCCCUCUUUCCUGUACUUGUACCUCUUAGAAACAAAGAGAUAGAUGAAGAAAUUCAACAAGCUCAUCAAAGAAAGCAACCAGUAGAAAAGGUUCAAAUGGUUUCGGUUAAAGUUGUUUCCGGCCAGCCAACCUCCACUGCGCGUAAUAUCCUUCGUUGCAUGGUUCACUAUGUUCACAACUAUGGUGCUAAGGAAGUAUCCCACCGACAUAGAACACCAAAGGAAAGAACUCGAAAUCGAUUUAAGAUCCUUUGGAGUUUGGGAAUAGAAGAAUUCCAGAAGUCCCACAUAAGUGAACAUGUCAGCUAUCCCGAAUAUGAAAUACUGAAUUGAUAACCAGAAGACACUGAUCGGCAAUGGCUGCAGUAUUGGUGUUGCAUCAAGCAUGUCGUGGUCUCUUGCAACCUUUUUUCUUUUUACUUCCAUUAUUGCUGCCACUGCCAUGGACAAGGAGGAUAGAACGAGGCCUACUCCUACUCGUUGCAGGUAUGUUAUGCCGGUGGGAAUACCUGUGAACUUACGUGCACAUGGGACGAUUAUUUGGUCGUAUAGCGGGACGAGGAAUAUCAAAAACACGACAGGAAGGAUGGGUAGUGAAGCGGGUGGGAUGUUGAAGGAUUUGGUGAUUCUUGUGUCCAUGGUUGAACCUUGAUGAAUGGAGAAGGUUUGCAGUUGAGCAUCACAAUUACGGGAAUCAACUCUAUGGUUUAGGAUCCACGGCUGUCCAAACCAAAACAAUUUAACAAAAUUUACAAAAAAAUUCUGAAGCUGCCAAAUCCAAACGCAGAUAUAUUAAUCGAUGUUUGCAAACAAUUUCAGAGAAAAUGAUGUGAGCAAAAUCAAGACUGAGUUGCUGGGAUUUAGUUUGGGAGUGGCAGGAGAACCUUGCCCAGGAAGUAUUUGAACUUGAAGACAAAUUAAUUUAGGAAUCAUGAGGAAUCGCAACAGCAAUGAGUGGAUCUUUUCUUCCAAUUAUGAGACCUCAUUGUUCGGCGAUAUCCAUGUUCUCCCAUUUUGCUCCAUCGGGUUGUUCCCAAUCAAAUUUGUGCAAAACAUUUGCUAACACAAAUUCAACUAACCCCGAUGCAAAACUAAUCCCUCGGCAGAUUCUCCAAUCACUCUAAAAAACUCACACAUACAUCGAACAAAAAACUCACAUAUACAUUGAGAGGUUGGGGGAAAAAAUUUAAAACCAAAAAACCACAACUCACAUAGUUGCUGCCCUUUUUUCUCUCACCGACCACGAUUGACUUCUCUUACAGUUCAGGCGGCGAUCGGAGGUGGUGAUUAUUUGGGUUGUGCCUAGAAUUAUAGUGGUCUCUGCUUUAUUUUUUGUAAAUGGGAGAGUGAUUCAAUUUGGAGAAGAAAUAGGGCUUUAGUCGGGUCACCAACUGCAAAACAGGCU